rnacentral:rRNA from 1 species
UACUGCUAUCAGUGUUCGAUUAAGCCAUGCGAGUUAAAUGUUCUUCGUGAACAUGGCGUACUGCUCAGUAACACGUGGAUAACCUGCCCUAAGGUCCGGCAUAACCCCGGGAAACUGGGGAUAAUACCGGAUAAACCAUAGAUACUGGAAUGUUCUGUGGUUAAAAGUUCCGGCGCCUUAGGAUGGAUCUGCGGCCUAUCAGGUAGUAGUGGGUGUAAAGUACCUACUAGCCGACGACGGGUACGGGUUGUGAGAGCAAGAGCCCGGAGAUGGAUUCUGAGACAUGAAUCCAGGCCCUACGGGGCGCAGCAGGCGCGAAAUCUUUACAAUGCGGGAAACCGCGAUAAGGGGACACUGAGUGCCAGCAUAUUAUGUUGGCUGUCCACCUGUAUAAAUCACAGGUGUUAGCAAGGGCCGGGCAAGACCGGUGCCAGCCGCCGCGGUAACACCGGCGGCCCGAGUGGUAGCCACUAUUAUUGGGUCUAAAGGGUCCGUAGCCGGUUUGAUCAGUCUUCCGGGAAAUCUGACAGCUCAACUGUUAGGCUUCCGGGGGAUACUGUCAGGCUUGGGACCGGGAGAGGUAAGAGGUACUACAGGGGUAGGAGUGAAAUCUUGUAAUCCCUGUGGGACCACCAGUGGCGAAGGCGUCUUACCAGAACGGGUCCGACGGUGA